AUGGUUAGAAUUGUAUGUGUAAAUGCAGUGAUUUUCUGUAAGGUGAUACCUGGAGAGAGUGUUGUACCCCAGCAUAAGCUGGUGGUUGCUGACUUUCGCUUUCGGAUUCGUGUCCAGCGGGAUAAGCGUGCCAAAGUCGCUAGAACGAAGUGGUGGAAGCUCAAGGGGGAGGUAGCUCAGGUGUUCAAGGAGAGGGUCAUUAAGGAGGGCCCUUGGGAGGAAGGAGGGGAUGCGGACAAUGUGUGGAUGAAGAUGGCGACUUGCAUUCGUAAGGUGGCCUCGGAGGAGUUUGGAGUGUCCAGGGGAAGGAGAAGCGAAGAUAAGGAUACCUGGUGGUGGAAUGAUGAUGUCCAGAAGGCGAUUAAAGAGAAGAAAGAUUGCUUCAGACGCCUAUACCUGGAUAGGAGUGCAGACAACAUAGAGAAGUACAAGAUGGCGAAGAAGGCCGCAAAGCGAGCUGUUGGUGAAGCAAGGGGUCGGGCAUAUGAGGACCUCUACCAACGGUUAGGCACGAAGGAAGGUGAAAGGGACAUCUAUAAGAUGGCCAAGAUCCGAGAGAGGAAGACGAGGGAUAUUGGCCAAGUCAAAUGCAUCAAGGACAGAGCAGACCAACUCUUGGUGAAGGACGAGGAGAUUAAGCAUAGAUGGCGGGAGUACUUCGACAAGUUGUUCAAUGGGGAGAAUGAGAGUUCUACCAUUGAACUGGAUGACUCCUUUGAUGAGACCAGCAUGCGUUUUGUGCGGCAAAUCCAGGAGUCUGAGGUGAAGGAGGCUUUAAAAAGGAUGAAAGGAGGCAAGGCGAUGGGCCCUGAUUGUAUCCCCAUUGAGGUGUGGAAAGGUUUCGGGGACAUAGCGAUAGUAUGGCUAACCAAGCUUUUGAACCUCAUUUUUCGGGCAAACAAGAUGCCAGAAGAGUGGAGACGGAGUAUAUUAGUACCAAACUUCAAGAACAACGGGGAUGUUCAGAGUUGUACUAAUUACCGUGGAAUUAAGCUGAUGAGCCAUACAAUGAAGCUAUGGGAGAGAGUCAUUGAGCACCGCUUAAGAAGAAUGACAUGCGUGACCAAAAAUCAGUUUGGUUUCAUGCCUGGGAGGUCGACCAUGGAAGCCAUUUUCUUGGUACGACAACUUAUGGAGAGAUAUAGGGAGCAAAAGGACUUGCAUAUGGUGUUCAUUGACUUGGAGAAGGCCUAUGAUAAGAUAUCGCGGAAUGUCAUGUGGUGGGCCUUGGAGAAACACAAAGUCCUAGCAAAGUACAUUACCCUCAUCAAGGACAUGUAUGAUAAUGUUGUGACAAGUGUUCGAACAAGUGAUGUCGACACCGAUGACUUCCCGAUUAAGAUAGGACUGCAUCAGGGGUCAGCUUUGAGCCCUUAUCUUUUUGCAUUGGUGAUGGAUGAGGUCACAAGGGAUAUACAAGGAGAUAUCCCAUGGUGUAUGCUCUUUGCGGAUGAUGUGGUGCUAGUUGACGAUAGUCGGACGGGGGUAAAUAGGAAGUUAGAGUUAUGGAGACAAACCUUGGAAUCGAAAGGGUUUAGGCUUAGUAGAACUAAAACCGAGUACAUGAUGUGCGGUUUCAGUACUACUAGGUGUGAGGAGGAGGAGGUUAGCCUUGAUGGCCAGGUGGUACCUGGAAGGACACCUUUGGUAUUUGGGGUCAAUGCUGCAGGAGGAUGGGGGUAUUGA
rnacentral:rRNA from 1 species